GACGAACGCUGGCGGCGUGCCUAAUACAUGCAAGUAGAACGCUGAAGGAGGAGCUUGCUCUUCUGGAUGAGUUGCGAACGGGUGAGUAACGCGUAGGUAACCUGCCUGGUAGCGGGGGAUAACUAUUGGAAACGAUAGCUAAUACCGCAUAACAUUGACUAUUGCAUGAUAGUCAAUUGAAAGGUGCAAUUGCACCACUACCAGAUGGACCUGCGUUGUAUUAGCUAGUUGGUGGGGUAACGGCUCACCAAGGCGACGAUACAUAGCCGACCUGAGAGGGUGAUCGGCCACACUGGGACUGAGACACGGCCCAGACUCCUACGGGAGGCAGCAGUAGGGAAUCUUCGGCAAUGGACGGAAGUCUGACCGAGCAACGCCGCGUGAGUGAAGAAGGUUUUCGGAUCGUAAAGCUCUGUUGUAAGAGAAGAACGAGUGUGAGAGUGGAAAGUUCACACUGUGACGUAUCUACCAGAA
rnacentral:rRNA from 1 species